AAAUUGAAGAGUUUGAUCAUGGCUCAGAUUGAACGCUGGCGGCAGGCCUAACACAUGCAAGUCGAACGGUAGCACAGAGAGCUUGCUCUCGGGUGACGAGUGGCGGACGGGUGAGUAAUGUCUGGGAAACUGCCUGAUGGAGGGGGAUAACUACUGGAAACGGUAGCUAAUACCGCAUAACGUCGCGAGACCAAAGUGGGGGACCUUCGGGCCUCAUGCCAUCAGAUGUGCCCAGAUGGGAUUAGCUUGUAGGUGAGGUAAUGGCUCACCUAGGCGACGAUCCCUAGCUGGUCUGAGAGGAUGACCAGCCACACUGGAACUGAGACACGGUCCAGACUCCUACGGGAGGCAGCAGUGGGGAAUAUUGCACAAUGGGCGCAAGCCUGAUG
rnacentral:rRNA from 1 species